rnacentral:rRNA from 1 species
CCUACGGGUGGCAGCAGUGGGGAAUAUUGCACAAUGGGCGAAACCCUGAUGCAGCGACGCCGCGUGAGGGAAGAAGUACUUCGGUAUGUAAAGCUCUAUCAGCAGGAACGAAACAACACGGUACCUGACUACGAAGCCUCGGCUAACGACGUGCCAGCAGCCGCGGGAAUACGUAGGGGGCAAGCGUUAGCCGGAAUCACUGGGGGUAAAGUGAUCGGAGUCGGCGGUGCAAGCCUGCAGUGAAAGGCUCGGGCCCAACCCCUGGACUGCCUUGGGAACUGGAAGGCUGGAGUGCUGGAGAGGUAAGUGGAAUUCCUGGUGUAGCGAUGAAAUGCGUAGAUAUUAGGAGGAACACCAGUGGCGAAGGCGGCUUACUGGAAUGUAACUGACGUUGAGGCGCGAAAGCGUGGGUAGCAAACAGGAUUAGAUACCCGAGUAGUC